UGGGGAAACCCAGUGUGAUUCGUCACACUAUCAUUAACUGAAUCCAUAGGUUAAUGAGGCGAACCGGGGGAACUGAAACAUCUAAGUACCCCGAGGAAAAGAAAUCAACCGAGAUUCCCCCAGUAGCGGCGAGCGAACGGGGAGGAGCCCAGAGCCUGAAUCAGUGUGUGUGUUAGUGGAAGCGUCUGGAAAGGCGCGCGAUACAGGGUGACAGCCCCGUACACAAAAAUGCACAUACUGUGAGCUCGAUGAGUAGGGCGGGACACGUGGUAUCCUGUCUGAAUAUGGGGGGACCAUCCUCCAAGGCUAAAUACUCCUGACUGACCGAUAGUGAACCAGUACCGUGAGGGAAAGGCGAAAAGAACCCCGGCGAGGGGAGUGAAAAAGAACCUGAAACCGU
rnacentral:rRNA from 1 species